GGGAAACUUGUGCUAAUACCGGAUAGCCUUUACAGGGGAAAGUUUUAAUGCCAAAAGAUGAGCCCGCACUUGAUUAGCUAGUUGGUAAGGUAAAAGCUUACCAAGGCAACGAUCAAUAGCUGUUCUUAGAGGAAGACCAGCCACAUUGGGACUUGAGACACGGCCCAGACUCCUACGGGAGGCAGCAGUGGGGAAUCUUGCACAAUGGGGGAAACCCUGAUACAGCGAUGCCGCGUGAGUGAAGAAGGCCCUUGGGUUUGUAAAACUCUUUCGUCGGGGAAGAAAAUGACUGUACCCGAAUAAGAAGGUCCGGCUAACUUCGUGCCAGCAGCCGCGGUAAUACGAAGGGACCUAGCGUAGUUCGGAAUUACUGGGCUUAAAGAGCUCGUAGGUGGUUAACAAGGUUGAUGGUGAAAUCCCAAAGCUUAACCUUGGAACUGCCAUCAAAACUUUUUAGCUAGAGUGUGAUAG
rnacentral:rRNA from 1 species